CCUGGCAGGAGGUGGCUUGCCUCUGGGCACUGAAGGAUCUGGUGAAGCAACAUCUGCCAGCCAAUGAACACAGCAGAGCAUUGCUCUGAGCAUCAUAGAGGGCAACCAGAAGGGAGAAAUGGCAGAUGCCAACAGAUCUUUGAAAGAACAGAAGAGGGAAGAAACCAAAGGUCAGGGAGAAGCUAAGUGGUGUGGGGCCUUCCCCAUGCCCCACAAGGACCGGCUCCCCUGUUCCCUUAUGUGUGGGGAUUCUUGGCAUACAGAGGGACGUGGGCCACCAGGUUAUAUGUGUGCACAGAUUUGUAGUGUGUGUGUGAUGUGAUUUUGGUAGUUUCUGUGCUUCUACACAAUGCAUGUUUCUGAUAGAACAGGAAAGAAGGGAGAGAGACUUUGGACAAAGGGACAAGCUCUGUAGAAAGAACAUCUUCGAUGCAAGUAAUAAAAAGGCACGCAAUAAUGCUUCUCACAAACAGCCACUAGCAAGCCUGUGCCACUGCCACAGCCAUAAAACACCCACGCCUGCCAUAACCCGUAACCAGUUCUGCACGAUGCACCCGCCCAGCCUGCCUCCCGCAUCGGCUC
rnacentral:lncRNA from 1 species